rnacentral:rRNA from 1 species
GAUGAACGCUAGCGGCAGGCUUAACACAUGCAAGUCGAGGGGUAACGAUGUCUUCGGACAGGCGACGACCGGCGCACGGGUGCGUAACGCGUAUGCAACCUACCUUUAACAGGAGGAUAGCCCCGAGAAAUCGGGAUUAAUACUCCAUAACAAUAAGAAUUGGCAUCAAAUUUUAUUUAAAGUUUCGGCGGUUAAAGAUGGGCAUGCGUGACAUUAGUUAGUUGGUGAGGUAACGGCUCACCAAGACAUCGAUGUCUAGGGGUUCUGAGAGGAUUAACCCCCACACUGGUACUGAGACACGGACCAGACUCCUACGGGAGGCAGCAGUGAGGAAUAUUGGGCAAUGGACGCAAGUCUGACCCAGCCAUGCCGCGUGAAGGAAGAAGGCCUUAUGGGUUGUAAACUUCUUUUAUACGGGAAUAAACUUAGCUAUGUAUAGUUAACUGCAAGUACCGUACGAAUAAGCACCGGCUAACUCCGUGCCAGCAGCCGCGGUAAUACGGAGGGUGCAAGCGUUAUCCGGAUUUAUUGGGUUUAAAGGGUCCGCAGGCGGACUAAUAAGUCAGUGGUGAAAUCUCUCGGCUCAACCGAGAAACUGCCAUUGAUACUGUUAGUCUAGAGUGUAGUUGGCGUAGGCGGAAUGUAUCAUGUAGCGGUGAAAUGCUUAGAUAUGAUACAGAACACCGAUCGCGAAGGCAGCUUACGAAACUACAACUGACGCUCAGGGACGAAAGCGUGGGGAGCGAACAGGAUUAGAUACCCUGGUAGUCCACGCUGUAAACGAUGGUUACUCGUUGUCGGCGAUACACAGUCGGUGGCUAAGCGAAAGUGAUAAGUAAUCCACCUGGGGAGUACGAUCGCAAGGUUGAAACUCAAAGGAAUUGACGG